UACAGAGACUGCAAGCGUUAUUCGGAUUCAUUGGGCGUAAAGGGUGCGCAGGCGGCCAAGUGUGUCAGGUGUGAAAUCCCGAGGCUUAACCUCGGAACUGCGCCUGAAACUACUUGGCUAGAGUACUGGAGAGGGUAACGGAAUUCACGGUGUAGCAGUGAAAUGCGUAGAUAUCGUGAGGAACACCAGAGGCGAAGGCGGUUACCUGGACAGUUACUGACGCUCAGGCACGAAAGCGUGGGGAGCAAAAGGG
rnacentral:rRNA from 1 species